ensembl:lncRNA
GUGUGUGGACCUGUGACUCUACAUGAAUGACUCAAGUGAAGAAACACGAGUGAAACCACUAUUUCAAAGGAAAAAGAAGAGGAAGAGGGGACAUCUUGAACAUUCGCAGUGGAACUUGAGUGCGCAUCUGCGCAAAGUCUCUCCAAAGUCACUUGGUAACUUGCGCGCACCACUGCAGCUCCAUUCUCAAGCAGUUUUGGGGGUCACGGCGAGGAGAGACUGUCGUCCGGCAGAAUGGCGUCAGACGUGGGCCGCAGCACUUGAGAGACGAGCUCAGGAAGAGUCGCUGCUGCCCCCCUUUCUGGAAACAGCUGCAUGCUGAGAGAAAGACAGCGAAAGAGAACAAGGGAAAAAAAGGAAGGCAAUAAAGUAGAGGGCUGGAUGUAUUUAUUUGCUUUU